rnacentral:rRNA from 1 species
AGUCAACCUGCCCUAGGGACGUGGAUAACCACGGGAAACUGUGGCUAAACCACGAUAGGUCAUCGCUGCUGGAAUGGGCAAUGGCUCAAACCUACAUGGCCCUAGGAUGGGACUGCGGCCGAUCAGGUCGUUGGCGGGGUAAUGGCCCACCAAGCCUGUAACCGGUACGGGCUCUGAGAGGAGGAGCCCGGAGAUGGGCACUGAGACAAGGGCCCAGGUCCUAUGGGACGCAGCAGGCGCGAAACCUUCGCAAUAGGCGAAAGCCUGACGAGGUUAAUCCGAGUGUUUUCUGCUAAAGGAAUCUUUUGUCAGCUCUAAAUAGGCUGAUGAAUAAGGGGUGGGCAAGCCUGGUGUCAGCCGCCGCGGUAAUACCAGCACCCCGAGUGGUCGGGAUGAUUAUUGGGCCUAAAGCAUCCGUAGCCGGUCUUGUAAGUCUUCCGUUAAAUCCACCUGCUCAACAGUUGGGCUGCGGGAGAUACUGCAGGACUAGGAGGCGGGAGAGGCGAGGGGUAUUCCUUGGGUAGGGGUAAAAUCCUCUGAUCCAUGGAGGACCACCAGUGGCGAAGGCGUCUCGCCAGAACGCGCUCGACGGUGAGGGAUGAAAGCUGGGGGAGCAAACCGGAUUAGAUACCCGGGUAGUCCCAGCUGUAAACGAUGCAGGCUCGGUGAUGGGUUGGGUUCGACCCAACCCAGUGCCGCAGGGAAGCCGUUAAGCCUGCCGCCUGGGGAGUACGGUCGCAAGACUGAAACUUAA